AGGCUUUUGGUACAAAGGCGUUUAGCACCGUCUGCACAACACAGAGCGCUUGUGACGCAGCUAAGAUGGGGAACCCCCAAUUGUGCAAGACCUCCGGUGACUCCUUCACCUGUGUCUACUGCUGCACCACUGACGGCUGUGUGCCCGGAGCUGCAUCCGCCGCUCGCGUCAGCAUCGUCACCAUGGCAACCGCCGCCAUGGCCGUCCUCCUGAAGAACGCCGCGGGGUUCUAGCAGCACGUUGCCAUGACGACGAAAGACGCUUGACGUCAUUUCCGCUAAAAGCAAUGCAUUUAAGUCGCUUCGUGUCACUCUGACAGAUGAUUCUGCUGAGACAAUAGAAUUUUGUUUCUUUCUUUUUAAUUGAAACAAUGGAGAUACGUAGCAAAUCGAAUUUUCUUCUUUCUUUCUGAAAUAUUUUGAUUGAAACAAUGGAUGAUACGUCUGGGGUCUGCUUGUGGUGAAAUAAACUUGGUAAAAAC